UACGGAGGGUGCGAGCGUUGUCCGGAAUCAUUGGGCGUAAAGGGCGCGUAGGUGGCGCGACAAGUCAACGGUGAAAGCUCGGCGCUCAACGCCGAGUCGGCCGUCGAUACUGUUGGGCUUGAGCACUGUAGAGGCUAAUGGAAUUCCGGGUGUAGCGGUGGAAUGCGUAGAGAUCCGGAAGAACACCGGUGGCGAAGGCGGUUAGCUGGGCAGUUGCUGACACUGAGGCGCGACAGCGUGGGGAGCAAACAGG
rnacentral:rRNA from 1 species